ACAAAGUGCUGGCAGUCUGUCUCACAUUUUGCCUCAUAAUCAACCACUGACCAUAUGCAACUUUAUCUCCUUUGCAGAGAGACAGAUUUUCAGUUCUUUGGACAAGACUUGGUGAUGGGACAGCUGCUAAAGGACCUCAAAGACCUUGAGAUUCUGUGAAAUUGAUAGACCAACAUUUGUGGCAGACCCCCUUAGCAAGGGACCAAGCAGAACUGUGGAGUCAUAUAAAGGUUACAUCUUGCAGCAAUGGACUUUAAUGAGAAUGCUGUACGGCCACAACUGAGAACAUCUAAAGGGAAACUUGUGUACAAGCUUCUCUUUCUAAAUGCCAAAAAGGGAGGACAUACUGUCAAACCUGUAAAGACAGAACCAACAUUUUGCUAUGUCACCAGCUUGAUGGACAGUGUUUCGAAGAGGCUGUCUGUGAUCCCCUUCCAUUUCUGGAUGCCGUACAGCAGAUUCCUGUGCCUCCGUACCUGUCUGCUCAGCAUGACAGACCUUCCAUGGAGGAAGAUUUAACCUAACCUUUCCAUCCCUCUUAAACGCCCAUGGUCAGCUCGAUAAACAUUCAUUGCAUUGUGCAAAGAAUAUAUGUUUAAGCACACAGGUUCAAGGCCGGGAUGGUCUGUCAUGCAUGAUAUCUCUCCAGGAACUUGGCUCAUUCUUCUAGUGACCUGCAAAAGGAAAAACCAUAAUGGCACUAUUUUUUUUACAGAAGUCUUUUAUACUUUAAGUAGCAGAAAACACAUGGCAUGACUUUUUUUACUGUAGUUAUACUACCUCUGGUAUUUUCCUGCAACAUACAAGUUCCAUCUCGAGAGGCAUGCAUGUACAAUUUCCAGAAGUAGACCUGUAAAAAAGAUAUUUAUAGAUUUUUAUGCAAUUUGUUAUUAGUAGGUUAAGAUUCUAAUUACUGUACACUUCAACUCCAGUUAUGAGUUCUAGAUAGUAAGUAAAGAAGCUAUCAUUGACUAUGUUUACAAGCACCCUCAAAAUGUGAUUACAAUUGGAUUUUGGCAAUUUUGAGAUUAUACCUCAUGUAAACGCAAUACUUCGAUAAAAAUAAUGACACUUUGUCAAUGUUACCGCACUAACUGAAGUGCAUGUAUGUUUUUGUAUAUGUGAAAGUUUUCCCUGCAGUUUGCCUUCAUAGAAACGACUCGAAUAACAUGACAGCAGCAUAUAAAAUUGUUACUUGCACUGUUACAAAAUUUCUGUCUUCAUAAAGGCACAGAAUAAUGAAAUGCAUCCAAAAGAACAUGUUCGUCAUUGCACUUUUGGUGUACAUGUAAACAUAGUCAUUGUCAUAUGGUAAAAUGCCAUUAAUUACAAUGUUGUUGCAGUGAUAAAAGUUAUGAGCUAACAUACAAAGUUAAUGAUACAUGCUUAGAAUUUCUACAAUUGGCGUUACAGCUAACUUAGGUUUUGUUUGUGCAUAC